GUUGCGCUCCCAAUCCAAUCCCUCCUUUCUCAAGGAAAUGAAAGCUCUGCACCGUUCAAAAAAAAAAAAAAAAAAAAAAUCUUAUCCAUGUUUACUUGAAUCAAAACCCAGAAAUCUCAUGCCACAGGAAUUAAAAGAAUGUCUAUCAAGAUCUGAUGAAACUCCAGGCAAUGCCCUAUGUCCUUUGGGUAUAAUGCCCAUGGAUUAAAAGAGAACUUCUAUGGGAUUUUUUUUCAUUUGAUUAAGCUUUUCUCUCUACUGUUUUUUUUGUUGGGGGGGGGGGGGAGGUCUCAGAUUGCAAGAAUGAAAGACAGCUUGAAUUGGAUUUUGGGUUGCUUCAGAUUACUACUUUCAGCUAUAGCUACCGUUCAUUUUGGGUUAGAUGUAUAGAAUUGGAUUUGUUGUAUCAAAUGCUACAAUUUUGUAGUGACAUACAAAGUGUUAAUAGGCUUUUGCUAUUGUAAGUACAAGUGAGCAUGUGGUUGUAAAUUGUAAUGAGACAAAAUGGUAUCUUAUACAACUCAAUGUAUGGUUGCCAUGAUUUCUUA